rnacentral:lncRNA from 1 species
UAUGGCGUCCCGGUGUGGUUUUCAGGACUUCCGGCGAGUUACGGUGAUCGGUUUUGAAAAACCGAUUUUGGGGAUUUGUGUGGGGGUUUGUGAGCUGUGUACUUUAGGUAAGUGGGUUGGAUACUGACCCGGUGGAUCUUCGUAGGUCUGGCUGACUUGUUGCGCACCCAGUUUUUUCGACGCGACAGUGAUAGGUGGGUGCUUCGACCUGGUAGUCGGUGAGAUCAUUUCACCUUCCUCUAUUC